rnacentral:rRNA from 1 species
AUUGAACGCUGGCGGAAUGCUUUACACAUGCAAGUCGAGCGGCAGCACGGGGGCAACCCUGGUGGCGAGCGGCGAACGGGUGAGUAAUACAUCGGAACAUGCCCAGUCGUGGGGGAUAACACUUCGAAAGAAGUGCUAAUACCGCAUACGUCCUGAGGGAGAAAGCGGGGGAUCUUCGGACCUCGCGCGAUUGGAGUGGCCGAUGUCAGAUUAGCUAGUUGGUGGGGUAAAGGCCUACCAAGGCAACGAUCUGUAGCUGGUCUGAGAGGAUGAUAAGCCACACUGGGACUGAGACACGGCCCAGACUCCUACGGGAGGCAGCAGUGGGGAAUUUUGGACAAUGGGGGCAACCCUGAUCCAGCCAUUCCGCGUGAGUGAAGAAGGCCUUCGGGUUGUAAAGCUCUUUCGGCAGGAACGAAACGGCGAGCUCUAACAUAGCUUGCUAAUGACGGUACCUGAAGAAGAAGCACCGGCUAACUACGUGCCAGCAGCCGCCGCGGUAA